rnacentral:tRNA from 1 species
GUGGGUAUAGCUCAGUUGGCAGAGCGCAAGAUUGUGGCUCUUGAGGCCGAGGGUUCGAAUCCCUCUACUCACCCCA